rnacentral:rRNA from 1 species
UACGUAGGGGGCAAGCGUUGUCCGGAUUUAUUGGGCGUAAAGAGCGUGUAGGCGGCCAUACAGGUCCGUUGUGAAAACUGGAGGCUUAACCUCCAGACGUCGAUGGAAACCGUAUGGCUAGAGUCCGGAAGAGGAGAGUGGAAUUCCUGGUGUAGCGGUGAAAUGCGCAGAUAUCAGGAAGAACACCCGUGGCGAAGGCGGCUUUCUGGGACGGUACUGACGCUGAGGAGCGAAAGCGUGGGUAGCAAACAGG